ensembl:lncRNA SILC1 sciatic injury induced lincRNA upregulator of SOX11
CAGCUGAGCGUGUGCAGAGGGAGCCCCUCAGGCUUUCUCUCUGUCUGCCUCCAUCUUACCGUAUCCAGAGACCACACUAAAAUGGUGGCUGACGUGGAGACAGAGGAAGCUCCUUUCUAGUUAUGGCCACAAGGCAGGAUGCUGAGGUGUUGUCUAGUUCAUUCAUCAGGAGGAAGGGGAGUCAUUCCAGCCUUCACUGCCUGUGGACGGCAACAACUUCACUGUGGAAGACGCCAGUAGAGUCUGGACACAGCUGACCGUAAUGUUUAUUCAAUCAAUGACUGGUUGCAUGGGCUUGAUCCACAAUGACUCAGCUUUCAGCCAUCGCAAUUGUGCUAUGCUCAGCUGUCAAGUGUGUUUUAAAUCUCCUACUACAUUUUUUUUAAAGUUUUUCUGCCAUCCUUUGUACUCCUUUUUAAAAACUUAUCCAGGAAGUGGUAUGAAAUCUCCAGUACUUCUCGGCACACACAGAUGCGUCUUUUUCUGUUUAUUGUUUUCCCUCUGAGAGUUGUAGUGUUCAGUUGGUUACACCAAGAGAAGUACUUGGCUGGGACUGUUAAAAAAAGUGUCACAAAGCAGCACCAAGGAGAAAACAACACUGUUUUCUGAAUGUUCGUGCUUGGAAUUUCUUUACUACAGGGAAAAUGAGAUGGGGGAGGGCCCUUCUUAUCUAUUUUCAGACAGACAUCUCACAAAUGCAUAAAAAAUAUAAUCCUUUUAGUUCCACUGGCCUUGUAGUUGUUGUAAAUGCAUCUUAAAUUCCUAAAUGAUUUUUAAAUUACAUUAUGUCUUUCAGCGGUGUAGGCUUUGAUUUCUGAGGCUGUUAGCCAGAUAUAGGCUUUAACAAACACUCAUGUUCUUUUGUCUUUAUGUCUUUAUUUUAAAAUUAUAUAUAUACAUAUAUAUAUGUAUGUAUGUAUGUAUAAGUAUCCAGUGAGUAUAAGAAAAAUAUCAAAGAGAAGAAUUUUUCUCAUUCUGUCUUCAAAUAGGUAAUACUUCACAAAUUGAUGUAUGCUCAUGGACAAUAGCAGGUAAUGCUUUUGAAACUGAAAGAUUUGUCUCUGAGUUCCAACAAUUGUCUUAGCAGACAGAGUUUCAAGGUCAUCAAAUCUGUAUCCAUUGGUGGCAUAGAAGAUGUCAAUCACAUUGCCUUUGAAUCAGAACCUAUCAUUGUCAAUACAGAUAAACUGCAGGUUAACUCUCUCUCUGUCUCGCCCCUGGAAACUAGGCUUAAUGUUUUGCCAAAAAUUGGGUAUUUGCUCUUGACCCUAGAGCAAAGGCUCUCACUUCAACAAAACUUUUCACUACUCUCCAGAAGAGCCAAGCCUCAUACUGAUGAGAAGAAGAGAAGGAAGAGAAAUGGGAAGCCGAUCAUUAAAAUAUUUUCCUGCAAGGGGAAGAAAACAACAAUUCUUAAGUGCCAAUAUGAGACAGGCACUAUACUGAGCACUUUGGAUGUGGUAUCUGUUUACAUUUAUUUGAAUAAUAAUCAGCAUAUAGAAAUUCAACAUAGAUUCUGCACCAUUUCUUUCAGUCCUUCUGGAUGGUUUUUCAUUUGUAUUUGUAAUAACUUGAAAGUUACUUAAUCUCUCAUUAAGUUGCUGAGGUAUGCUUUUUAACAUAAUAUUUGCAUAGGCCAUGAACCAGAAUGAAUAAAAGGAAAAUCCCAAGAUCUAGAACAUUGUUUUAGAAUUGAUGCCUACCCAACACUUUGUCCUGAGUUUACUUAGCAUAUAGAAAGGAGUUACAUACACAAUGAACAUUCGAGGACUGAAUUUUAGUUGAAGUAACUGAGAUGAGUAAACAAAAAAUGCCAGAAGCUCACUGCCUCCUCCACCCCCACCACACCUGAUGCAGUCCAGAGGCAAAUUUCUUUGUUAAUCCACUUAUUUGUGUUAUUUUUAUGUAUUUAUACUUAUAGUACGUAGCAUAUCUAAGCUCAUGUCUGUCUUAGGAAUUGGAAUUUUAGCAGGCAGAGAGAUCAUCACCUUAACUCUGUGGUGUUCAAUCUUUUAGCUUCCCUGGGCCACAUCACAAGAAGAAAAAUUGUCUUGGGCCAUACAUAAAAUACACCAACACUAAUGAUAGCUGAUGAGCUAAAAAAAAAAAAACCUGUCAAAAAUAUCAUAAUUUUUUUCAUUGCUUGAGCAAUUUUUUUAUUAUUAUUAUACUUUAAGUUCUAGGGUACAUGUGCACAACGUGCAGGUUUGUUACAUAUGUAUACAUGUGCCAUGUUGGUGUGCUGC